rnacentral:rRNA from 1 species
UACGAAGGGGGCUAGCGUUGUUCGGAAUUACUGGGCGUAAAGCGCACGCAGGCGGUCCUUUAAGUCAGGGGUGAAAGCCCAGAGCUCAACUCUGGAACUGCCUUUGAAACUAGAGGACUUGGGUACGGGAGAGGUGAGUGGAAUUCCGAGUGUAGAGGUGAAAUUCGUAGAUAUUCGGAAGAACACCAGUGGCGAAGGCGGCUCACUGGCCCGUUACCGACGCUCAGGCGCGACAGCGUGGGGAGCAAACAGG